rnacentral:lncRNA from 1 species
GAUGGGUCCCUUUAGAUGCUGCCACUUAUAACUGCUAUAAUUCUGUUCAUCCUCGAUAAUGGAGCCCCGUCAAUAAAUAAAAUACCACUUCCAUUGCCCUUCAGGUCAUUGUGAAGACAUGAAAAUAGAAUACCAAGUAGUUCGAUGCAUUGCAUGAAACCGAUAUCGAUCAUACAAAAGAUAAAGAGUCACAUCUUUUGCGUGAUCAGAAUUCUCGACUCGGAUCGAAAUCGAACCAAGCCAGACGAGUUAAUUCAUUCGAAGGCCAC